GGAAAGAUGGCAGAGUGGUUGAUUGCAUCGGUUUUGAAAACCGACGUGGCUUUAUGGUCAUCGGGGGUUCGAAUCCCUCUCUUUCCG
rnacentral:tRNA from 1 species